CGGGAUUCCCUGAGUAAGGGCGACUGAAACGGGACCUAGCCCAGCGCAUAACCUCGCGGUUCGGACAGAGCCGACGAGGGGUGUUGCGUAUCGGUGGAUCCGUCCCGCUCGUGCUCUACCGCCUAAGUCCAAGUAAGAGGCCCGUGUGGCGGCGCCCGCAAGGGCUACUAGAGCGCGGGCGGAGGGAUCGCUUCACCGGAGAGUCGGGUUGCUUAAUACUGCAGCCCUAAGAGAGGUGGUAAACUCCAUCUAAGGCUAAAUACAACCACGAGUCCGAUAGGAGACAAGUACCGUGAGGGAAAGUUGAAAAGGACUUUGAAGAGAGAGUUCAAGAGUACGUGAAGCCGUUAGAAGCUUAAACGGGUGGAACCGCGAAGGUCGAACGAGGGCACUCACCUCGUCGGGCGGGCGGGACCCGGGGAGCUCCGACAGGCCGGCGCCGAUGUCCAAAGUGUGAGCGCAGGAGCACCCUGUCCGUCGCGUCCCGCUCCGGCGGGCGUACUUGUCCCUCCAGUAGCAAACGCCGCGAGCCGUGGCUCGGGGACCAGAAGGCCCGCAUAGCCCGGAUUGGUACCCUCAGUCCGGAGGGGAAACCGCGGCUGGGAUCUGCAUGGUGGCCCUGCCACGGCGUGGCCCAGGGCAGCUCUCCCUCUCGGGGGCUGAGCUGCCUCGCGGCGGAGAACGAAGUCGGUGAUCCACCUGACCCGUCUUGAAACACGGACCAAGGAGUCUAACAAGUGUGCGAGUCUAAGGGUCCGUCGAGACCCGGAGGCGCAAUGAAAGUGAGUGAGAAAUGCAGGCCGAUCCCCCGCGGCAACGCAGGGGGCGCAGGCCGGGGACUUGCCGCCCAGCGGCCGUCGACGGCCUCCCCCGUUCGCGGGAAGGGGCCCCGGCGGUCCGCUGGCAAGUACCUCGAGAGCACACGCGUUGGGACCCGAAAGAUGGUGAACUAUGCCUGGCCAGGACGAAGCCAGAGGAAACUCUGGUGGAGGUCCGAACCAGUUCUGACGUGCAAAUCGAUUGUCAGAGCUGGGUAUAGGGGCGAAAGACUAAUCGAACCA
rnacentral:rRNA from 1 species